rnacentral:rRNA from 1 species
UACGGAGGGUGCAAGCGUUAUCCGGAUUCACUGGGUUUAAAGGGUGUGUAGGCGGGCUGUUAAGUCAGUGGUGAAAUCUCCGGGCUCAACCCGGAAACUGCCAUUGAUACUAAUGGUCUUGAAUUUUGUUGAGGUAGGCGGAAUAUGUCAUGUAGCGGUGAAAUGCUUAGAUAUGACAUAGAACACCGAUUGCGAAGGCAGCUUACUAUGGUCUUAUUGACGCUGAGGCACGAAAGCCAGGGGAGCAAACGGG